rnacentral:rRNA from 1 species
GAGUUUGAUUAUGGCUCAGGAUGAACGCUGGCGGCGUGCCUAAUACAUGCAAGUCGAACGAGAAGUCACACCUACCUCGGUAAGAGUGAUGGAGAGUGGCGAACGGGUGAGUAACACGUAGAUGACCUGCCCCGAAGAGAGGGACAACCACUGGAAACGGUGGCUAAUACCUCAUAAGCUCACGUUGAUUAGAUAGGCGUGAGAAAACACUCCGGUGCUUUGGGAGGGGUCUGCGGCCCAUCAGCUAGUUGGUAAGGUAACGGCUUACCAAGGCGAAGACGGGUAGGGGGCCUGAGAGGGUGGUCCCCCACACGGGCACUGAGAUACGGGCCCGACUCCUACGGGAGGCAGCAGUAAGGAAUAUUGCACAAUGGACGAAAGUCUGAUGCAGCAACGCCGCGUGUCCGAUGAAGGCCUUCGGGUUGUAAAGGACUUUUCUGGUUGAAGAGGAAGGACAGUAAACCAGGAAUAAGUGUCGGCUAACUACGUGCCAGCAGCCGCGGUAAAACGUAGGACGCAAGCGUUAUCCGGAUUUACUGGGCGUAAAGCGCGGGCAGGCGGAAGGCCAAGUUGGAUGUGAAAGCUCCCGGCUCAACUGGGAGAUGCCAUUCAAGACUGGUCAUCUGGAGGACAGCAGAGGGGCGUGGAAUUCCGGGUGGAGUGGUGAAAUGCGUAGAGAUCCGGAGGAACACCAGAAGCGAAGGCGGCGCCCUGGGCUGGACCUGACGCUGAGCCGCGAAAGCGUGGGUAGCGAACGGGAUUAGAAACCCCGGUAGUCCACGCCGUAAACGAUGUCAACUAGGUGUUGGUGGGGAAGACCUGGCAGUGCCGAAGCAAACGCGAUAAGUUGACCGCCUGGGGAGUACGGCCGCAAGGCUAAAACUCAAGGAAUUGA